rnacentral:rRNA from 1 species
CGCGUAGGCGGCUUUGUAAGCCUGGAGUGAAAGUCCUCUUUUCAAGGGAGGAAUUGCUUUGGAAACUAUAGAGCUUGAGUGCAGGAGAGGUUAUCGGAAUUCCCGGUGUAGCGGUGAAAUGCGUAGAUAUCGGGAGGAACAUCGGUGGCGAAGGCGGCCCCCUGGAUCAAGACUGACGCUGAGGUGCGAAAGCGUGGGGAAGCAAACA